UCACUGAUGACGCUAGUCAGACAAUGAUGCAUCGACUACGAACGCGUGAUGAAGUCCAUCGAGCUGGUAGGACAGUGAGUGAAGUCACUGACGAUCUACAGACGACGCUAUACGUCAGACGCGGUAUACGUAGUCGACGUGUCGGAUAUGACGUAAGCGAGCCAGCGUAGAUAGUCGAGUAAAGCUUGCUACCAUAGUAUGCUUGAACUGUUACUGAGGCAGAAGGGGAGAGUGAUCCAUGUGUAGCGUGAAUGCGUAGAUAUAUGAGAACACGUGCGAAAGCGCUCUCUUGUUCUGUAACUGACGCUGAGGCUCGAAGCGUGGGAGCAACAGGAUUAGAUACCUGGUAGUCCACGCGUAAACGAUGAGUGCUAGGUGUUAGGCCCUUUCUGGGCUUAGUGCCGCAGCUAACGCAUUAAGCACUCCGCUGGGGAGUACGACCGCAAGGUUGAAACUCAAAGGAAUUGACGGGGGCCCGCACAAGCGGUGGAGCAUGUGGUUUUAAUUCGAAGCAACGCGAAGAACCUUACCAGGUCUUGACAUCCCUCUGACCGCUCUAGAGAUAGAGUUUUCCUUCGGGACAGAGGUGACAGGUGGUGCAUGGUUGUCGUCAGCUCGUGUCGUGAGAUGUUGGGUUAAGUCCCGCAACGAGCGCAACCCCUAUUGUUAGUUGCCAUCAUUGAGUUGGGCACUCUAGCGAGACUGCCGGUAAUAAACCGGAGGAAGGUGGGGAUGACGUCAAAUCAUCAUGCCCCUUAUGACCUGGGCUACACACGUGCUACAAUGGCUGGUACAACGAGUCGCAAGCCGGUGACGGCAAGCUAAUCUCUGAAAGCCAGUCUCAGUUCGGAUUGUAGGCUGCAACUCGCCUACAUGAAGUCGGAAUCGCUAGUAAUCGCGGAUCAGCACGCCGCGGUGAAUACGUUCCCGGGCCUUGUACACACCGCCCGUCACACCACGAGAGUUUGUAACACCCGAAGUCGGUGAGGUAACCGUAAGGAGCCAGCCGCCUAAGGUGGGAUAGAUGAUUGGGGUGAAGUCGUAACAAGGUAGCCGUAUCGGAAGGUGCGGCUGGAUCACCCCU
rnacentral:rRNA from 1 species